UAGGGAAUCUUCCGCAAUGGGCGAAAGCCUGACGGAGCAACGCCGCGUGAGUGAUGAAGGUCUUCGGAUCGUAAAACUCUGUUAUUAGGGAAGAACAUAUGUGUAAGUAACUGUGCACAUCUUGACGGUACCUAAUCAGAAAGCCACGGCUAACUACGUGCCAGCAGCCGCGGUAAUACGUAGGUGGCAAGCGUUAUCCGGAAUUAUUGGGCGUAAAGCGCGCGUAGGCGGUUUUUUAAGUCUGAUGUGAAAGCCCACGGCUCAACCGUGGAGGGUCAUUGGAAACUGGAAAACUUGAGUGCAGAAGAGGAAAGUGGAAUUCCAUGUGUAGCGGUGAAAUGCGCAGAGAUAUGGAGGAACACCAGUGGCGAAGGCGACUUUCUGGUCUGUAACUGACGCUGAUGUGCGAAAGCGUGGGGAUCAAACAGGAUUAGAUACCCUGGUAGUCCACGCCGUAAACGAUGAGUGCUAAGUGUUAGGGGGGUUCCGCCCCUUAGUGCUGCAGCUAACGCAUUAAGCACUCCGCCUGGGGAGUACGACCGCAAGGUUG
rnacentral:rRNA from 1 species